CUUUGCCACCAGAGCACUCUUUGCAGCUCCUAGCAUCGGGAAUGUCCUGUUUUACCAUGGAAGAAUUGGAAGAAAAUGACUCAAAUGAAGUUGGCUCUAUGCUAAACCAUUUAUCUCCCAGACUUUACAUGAAUGGGAAUCUGCGUGCACUCUGAUGAUCUUUCUGAGACCGUGACUGGCCAGAAAAGGCAGCAGCUCUCAGAACGAAUCAACAUGAUGAAACCCUGGUUUGGAGUUUUAUCCUUCAUAACGAUGAGAAAAUAAAUGUGGGUUCUUUAAAG